AUGCGCGAUGCCGGGCACUCGCGGUACCGCCGGCGGGCCGGCCUGCCGAUGCUCUCCCUUCUGCUCGCGCUCGCGCUGUUCGCCGGGGGUGCCAGCGGGCAGCCGCCGGUGCCGCCGGAGAUGAGGGGCGUGCAGGCGCAGCUCACGGGGCUCACCAACGACGUCGCCCACACCAUCUCCGACCGCUUCAGCUUCUGCGUCUCCGACACGCAGGAGGACUGGAACGGGGCCUUCAACUACUCCUCCGACCUCGGCUUCGUGCAGCGCUGCCUCGCCGACACCAGAGGUGACAUGCCGCAGCGCUUAUGCACGCCGGCAGAAGCGAAGUUCUACUUCACAAGCCUGUACAACCCGAAAGGCGAGAAAAACCUCUUCCUGGAGACCAACAUAAACUGCGGCAUCUCCGCUUGGUCGCCGGGUUGUGAGCCGGGGUGGGCUUGCUCUGUUGGUCCGAUCCCUGCCGCCAACGACAACGAGACCAUCCCACUGAGAGCCACCAACUGCCAGGCGUGCUGCGAGGGCUUCUUCUGUCCCCGUGGUCUCACCUGCAUGCUCCCUUGUCCAUUGGGAUCGUACUGUCCGCGUGCCAGAGGGAACUCAACCACUGGUCUUUGUGAUCCGUACAAGUACCAGAUAACUCCAAACUCGACCAAUGGCUGCGGUGGCGCCGACAAAUGGGCUGAUUUUGGGAGCACUGAAGAAAUCUUCUGUCCUGCUGGUUACCACUGCCCAAGCACAACAUCCAAAUUGUCCUGUACCAGCGGGCAUUAUUGCAAAUUGGGUUCCACCAGAGAAGAGAAAUGCGUCAUUAAAGGCUCAUGUAAGGAAAACGAAACGAAUGAAAACAUCAUCAUUUUGGGCGCUUGUUUAGUGGGUAUAAUAGGCGUGUCGCUCUUGGUCGUGUACAACUGCUCAGGUCAGUUCCUCACUAUUCGUGAACGAAGGAAAGCGAGGUCGAGGGAGAACGCGAUUCAGCUUGCUCGGCAGCAGCUCAGGGCUCACCAGGGAUGGAAGGCAGCCAAACAGAUCGCGAGGAAACAUGUGACCGGCGUGCAGGACCAUCUGUCACGCACAUUUUCACGCAGGAGAUCCUUUCGUCAGCAGACAGAUCUCGAGAAUUCUAGCCACAGGGUGCAGGAAGCGCGCCUGAUGGGUUCGACCGGGCCAAAUGAAAGGUCAGACUCCAUAGUGUUUUCAGCUCAGAACACAAGCGAGAUAUCCGAAGUCAUGCCUUCGGUUGUCAUGGACAUAAGCAACGAUGGAGAAGUAGUUGCUACCAAUGACAAGCCGGCACCCAAAGGCAAGCACAGAUCAACUCAAACUCAAAUAUUCAAGUAUGCGUAUGGCGAGAUAGAGUUGGAGAAGGCGAGGCAGGAAGAGAACAAGAACAUGUCCUUCACCGGAGUGCUUGCCAAGGUGAAGGAGCUACAAAAGGAGAUGACCAGGCCUUUGCUCAAGGUUGAGUUCAAGAACCUGACCCUGUCACUUGGAAAAAGGAAGCUGCUGAGGUCUGUCACAGGCGAGCUCCAGCCAGGCCGUGUCACCGCCGUCAUGGGCCCCUCUGGAGCCGGCAAGACGACGUUCCUUAAUGCUGUGGCCGGGAAGGUGACCGGUUAUCAAGUGACCGGUUCUGUCCUUGUUAAUGGAGCGCAAGGAAGUAUACGUUCUUACAAGAAGAUCAUUGGCUUUGUGCCUCAGGACGACGUCGUUCAUGGGAACUUGACUGUCGAGGAGAACCUUUGGUUCAGCGCAAAUUGCAGGCUCCCUGCGAGAAUGUCACACCGUGAUAGGGUUCUCAUUGUGGAGAGGGUUAUAGAGUCCCUGGACCUCCAGGGGGUCAGGAAUUCGGUGGUUGGGACGGUGGAGAAGCGUGGAAUCUCUGGCGGGCAGAGGAAGCGUGUCAAUGUGGGGAUUGAGAUGGUGAUGGAGCCAUCUCUGCUGAUCCUGGAUGAACCAACCUCUGGCCUGGACAGUUCCUCGUCGCAACUGCUCCUCAAAGCUCUUCGUCACGAGGCACUUGAAGGGGUGAACAUUUGCGCCGUUGUUCACCAACCGAGCUACACAUUGUACAACAUGUUUGAUGACCUGAUACUUCUGGCAAAAGGAGGCCUUAUCGUUUACAAUGGUCCCAUCAAGACCAUUGAGGACUACUUCUCCACUCUUGGGAUUCAUGUCCCCGACCGUGUAAACCCGCCAGACCAUUACAUUGACAUUCUUGAAGGCAUUGUGAAGCCCGAGUCAGGCAUUAAGGCGAAGCAUUUGCCGGUGCACUGGAUGCUGUACAAUGGCUACGAAGUGCCAAGUGACAUGAAAGAUGAUCUCAAGGCAAUGGGCGAGCAGAGCCCGGACGUUGAUAUCAAUCGUUCAAUGUCUGGAUCAACCCCUCAUUGCCUCCCUGCAGGCGUAACUAACGCUUUUGCACAAGAACGCAACCGUCUUGAGCACCGUCUGUCGAAACCUGGUGAUCUGUCCAGCAGAAGAACACCAGGAAUCCUAAAGCAAUACAAGUUCUUCCUCGGAAGAGUUACGAAACAGCGGCUGCGUGAAGGCAGACUGCUUGGGGUUGAUUUCCUGAUACUAGGUCUAGCUGGGAUCUGCUUGGGGACAAUUGCAAAACUCAGUGACCCGACAUUUGGGAUGCCUGGCUAUAUUUACACUAUCAUUGCCGUGUCUCUUCUGUGCAAGAUUGCGGCAUUAAGAUCAUUUUCACUUGAGCGGUUGCAGUACCUGAGGGAAAGAGAAUCUGGGAUGAGCACACUGGCAUACUUUCUUGCCAGGGAUACCAUCGAUCAUUUCAACACGGCUUUAAAGCCAAUCAUUUACCUCUCCAUGUUUUACUACUUCAACAACCCGAGAUCAUCAAUUGGCAGUAAUUACGUCAUACUCCUCUCACUUGUGUAUUGUGUGACCGGGAUAGGAUACACUUUCGCCAUCUGUUUCAAUCCCGGCUCGGCGCAGCUGUGCUCUGCGCUGAUACCUGUUGUUCUGACCUUGUUAUCCACUCAAAGGACCACCCCUACAUUUCUGAAGAAUAUGAGCUAUCCAAAGUGGGCACUAGAGGGCUUCAUAAUUGCAAACGCAAAAAGGUAUCCUGGAGUUUGGCUAAUAACUCGCUGCGGCUUGCUGUUCAGGAGCGGUUUCAAUAUUCACAACUACCAACUCUGUAUUGUGGUUCUGUUCAUGUAUGGUCUCUUCUUCAGGAUUGUUGCAUUUGUGGCAAUGGUUCUGCUGAAGAAGAGAUGA
rnacentral:rRNA from 1 species